AAGACGAUGACAAUAUUAUUCCAAGUAGCACCAAAUGCAUAAUUGGAAAAACCUACAUCUUUCAACUGAAAAUUAUUGCAAACAAUUUUUUCGUUCGCAAACAAAACUUUACAGUAACUAGAGUCAUUGAAAUUGAAGGAAACGGACAAUUACAGGAAACAACAAAAAGAGGGGCUAACAAUGGAAAUGAAGUACUUGAAGAAAAAAUCUGUGCCCAAGUAAAGAAAAGAAAGAUUGUGAAGAAAGAAAUAAAAAAAGAGAAAGUGGAAGAUGAAAUAGAAGUGUUAGAGGAUUAGAGAACAUAUAAAAUAUUUAAAUCAAAGACUAUUUUCAUAUUUAGAGUUUUAGAUUGUUUUCAUUUUAGAAUGAUUUGAGUUUGGAA